UUGAAUAAACUUGGUKGGGUUGUUGCUGGCUCCUCGGAGCAUGUGCACGCUCACUCCAUUUUUAACCACCUGUGCACCUUGUGUAGAUCUGAACAACUCUCGGGGAAACUCGGUUAGAGGAUUGCUGUGCGUAAAAGCCAGCUUUCCUUGAGUUCAGAUCUAUGUCUUUAUAUACACCAUAAGAAUGUAUUGGAAUGUAAUUGACAGGCGUUAGAGCCUUUAAAAUCAAAUACAACUUUCAACAACGGAUCUCUUGGCUCUCGCAUCGAUGAAGAACGCAGCGAAAUGCGAUAAGUAAUGUGAAUUGCAGAAUUCAGUGAAUCAUCGAAUCUUUGAACGCACCUUGCGCUCCUUGGUAUUCCGAGGAGCAUGCCUGUUUGAGUGUCGUGAAAUUCUCAACCUCUCUGGCUUUUAUAAGCUMGUUAGGCUUGGAUUGUGGAGGUUGCUGGUUUCUCAGAAAUCAKCUCUUCUUAAAUAUAUUAGCAAAGUCUUUGCUGACCAUCUUUGGUGUGAUAAUUAUCUACAUCAUCGAGRAUCAGCUUCCGUCUUGGAAGGAUUUCGCUUCUAAUGGUCUAUUCAGACAACUUGACAAU
rnacentral:misc_RNA from 1 species